rnacentral:rRNA from 2 species
CACGAACGACUCUCGGCAACGGAUAUCUCGGCUCUCGCAUCGAUGAAGAACGUAGCGAAAUGCGAUACUUGGUGUGAAUUGCAGAAUCCCGUGAACCAUCGAGUCUUUGAACGCAAGUUGCGCCCCAAGCCRUUAGGUUGAGGGCACGUCUGCCUGGGUGUCACGCAU